rnacentral:rRNA from 1 species
CCUACGGGAGGCUGCAGUAAGGAAUCUUCCACAAUGGGGGCAACCCUGAUGGAGCAAUACCGCGUGCAGGAUGAAGCGUUUCGGCGUGUAAACUGCUUUUAUCACCGAAGAUUAUGACUGUAGGUGAAGAAUAAGGACCGGCUAACUACGUGCCAGCAGCCGCGGUAAUACGUAGGGUCCAAGCGUUAUCCGGAAUUACUGGGCGUAAAGCGUCUGUAGGCGGCUUUUCAAGUCAGGUGCGAAAUCUUGCGGCUCAACCGUAUAGACUGUGCUUGAAACUGAUUAGCUAGAGGUAGGUAGAGGCAAGUGGAAUUUCUGGUGUAGGAGUGACAUCCGUAGAUAUCAGAAGGAACACCAAUGGCGAAGGCAGCUUGCUGGGCCUUACCUGACGCUCAGAGACGAAAGCGUGGGGAGCGAACGGGCUUAGAUACCCCAGUAGUC